rnacentral:rRNA from 1 species
GCAGCCACUCAUUCAAAGAGUGCGUAAUAGCUCACUGGUCGAGUGAUCCUGCGCCGAAGAUUUCCGGGGCUAAAACUUACUACCGAAGCUACGGCAUCAGUAAUGAUGGGUAGGGGAGCUUCCCAUACGGGUUGAAGCAUGACCGUAAGGACAUGUGGACAGUAUGGGAGUGAGAAUGUUGGCAUGAGUAGCGAGAUGUGGGUGAGAAUCCCACAGGCCGUAAACCCAAGGUUUCCAGGGGAAGGUUCGUCCGCCCUGGGUUAGUCGGGACCUAAGCUGAGGCCGAAAGGCGUAGGUGAUGGACAACAGGUUGAUAUUCCUGUACUACCGAUAACCGUUUGAGAGAUGGGAUGACACAGUAGGAUAAGCUAAGCACACUGUUGGUUAUGUGUGCCCAAGCAUUGAGGCAGUCAAAGUAGGCAAAUCCGCUUUGAUAAUGCUGGGAUGUGAUGGGGAGCGAAAUUUAGUAGCGAAGUAGCUGAUUUCACACUGUCAAGAAAAGUCUCUAUCGAGGUUAAAGGUACCCGUACCGCAAACCGACACAGGUGGGUGAGGAGAGUAUCCUAAGGCCAGCGAGAGAACUGUUGUUAAGGAACUCGGCAAAAUGACCCCGUAACUUAGGGAUAAGGGGUGCCACCAUCCGGUGGCCGCAGAGAAUAGGCCCAAGCGACUGUUUACCAAAAACAUAGGUUUCUGCUAAGUCGCAAGACGAUGUAUAGGAGCUGACGCCUGCCCGGUGCUGGAAGGUUAAGGGGAUCUGUUAGAGCAAUCGAAGCAGUGAACUUAAGCC